UUGGCGCCUUAUCUUUGGUCAACCCCACCGAGAAGCCAUCGGAGCAAUCUUCGCUCUCUCUGAAUCCAUGGCGUCAGUCAACGGACUCAAACCCGCAGUCCUCCAAUCCUCCUACUUCUUCAACCCUUCAUCUCCCUCGUCACUUCCCAUCACCGCGCCCAAAACCCCCAAGCUCUCACGCUCUUUUAGCUCCGUCUCCUCGACCGUUAUUCACCAUCGCCAGGACCCCACCACGACCGUGUCUCGAAGGUUGUUGCUUCCUUCAGUUUCGGGCAUUUGGGAGGCUCUCACCGGAGGAGGAGGAGGAGGAGGCAACAAUGCGCGCGAAGCGGUUCUCGCUGUUCGACGGGGAAUGCUGCUCUUCAGACAGGGUGACGUCGUUGGUUCUUUGCUAGAAUUUGAUAAAGCGAUAGAGCUGGAUCCUCGUCAAAAGGCAUAUCUUUGGCAAAGAGGGCUGUCACUUUACUAUCUCGAUAGGUUCGAAGGAGGUGCGGAGCAGUUCAGAAUAGAUGUUGCGCAAAAUCCAAAUGACACGGAGGAGUCAAUAUGGUGCUUUCUUUCUGAGGCUCAACUGUAUGGAGUGGAUGAAGCAAGGAAAAGAUUUCUUGAAGUGGGGAAGGAUCCACGACCUGUAAUGCGGGAGGCAUAUAACCUUUUUAAAGACGGGGGAGAUCCAGAAAAGCUUGUCGCUGGAUUUCUGAACGGACGGGACAGUGAGUACUUCUAUGCUUCUUUGUAUGCUGGCCUUUACUAUGAAGCUGAGAACAAGCCAGAAGGGGCUAAACAUUAUAUCAUUGCUGCGUGUCAGUCCCCUUAUGGAGAAAGGUCAGAUGAUUACAUGGCUUCGCUGGCCAAGGUACACUGUCUUUGCAGAGAUUGGAGUUCCACUUAAACAUCGCAUUGCCGAGGGUCAGUUAGAAUGAGUUAGAAGCUUGCAUAUCUGAUUUUUGGGCGCUCAGCUUUACUGGUACAUCAGCAUCCUCUAAAGGAGCUUUGUUCCAAGAUGUUCGACAAAAGUCUCCAGGGUAAUUGUCCUCAGAGUGCCGCAUGCACAUGGCUCUUACUAAGUCUUUUCACAAUUUUUAUUCGCACGAGCGGGUCGAAGCAGCCAUGCAUAGACAAAACUUCUGAUGCUGGACAGAGCAAGAGUUGCAUGUGUCUUGACCUGUUAUCCUAUUGGAGUUGGGGAGUACAAAAGCAUCCUCCAACCAACAGAGGUCUUUGGUAGAUUCUCUUGAUAACUUGUGCUGAUUAAUGACCCUGCAGUGGUUGGUUUAAUAUAAUAGCAGCCAUCUUUGUUAUUUUAAGAGGCAGCAAUCAUUUGCUUUUGCAGCAUAUUCUCAGCUCCAAGC